UACGUAGGUGGCAAGCGUUGUCCGGAUUUAUUGGGUUUAAAGGGUGCGUAGGUGGCUUGGUAAGUCAGCGGUGAAAGACGGUCGCUCAACGAUUGCAGUGCCGUUGAUACUGCCGAGCUUGAGUAAAGAUGAGGUAGGCGGAACGGAUAGUGUAGCGGUGAAAUGCAUAGAUAUUAUCCAGAACACCGAUUGCGAAGGCAGCUUACUGGACUUUAACUGACACUGAGGCACGAGAGCGUGGGGAGCAAACAGG
rnacentral:rRNA from 1 species